CUACGGAGGGUCCGAGCGUUAUCCGGAAUCAUUGGGUUUAAAGGGUCCGUAGGCGGGAAUCUAAGUCAGUGGUGAAAUCUUGCAGCUCAACUGUAAAAUUGCCAUUGAUACUGGAUUUCUUGAAUUAGUGUGAAGUGGUUAGAAUGUGUAGUGUAGCGGUGAAAUGCAUAGAUAUUACACAGAAUACCAAUUGCGAAGGCAGAUCACUAACACUAUAUUGACGCUAAGGGACGAAAGCGUGGGGAGCGAACAGGAUUAGAAACCCUAGUAGUCC
rnacentral:rRNA from 1 species